UUAAGUUAACAAGGGCGCAUGGUGAAUGCCUUGGCACUAGGAGCCGAUGAAGGACGGGACUAACACCGAUAUGCUUCGGGGAGCUGUACGUAAGCUAUGAUCCGGAGAUUUCCGAAUGGGGCAACCCAGCAGUUUUAAUCAACUGUUACCACUAGAUGAAUUCAUAGUCUAGUUGGAGGUAAACGCUGUGAACUGAAACAUCUCAUUAGCAGCAGGAAUAUAAAGAAAUUUCGAUUCCCUAAGUAGCGGCGAGCGAACGGGGAACAGCCCAAACCAAAGUGCUUGCACUUUGGGGUUGUAGGACUGAACAUUUGAGUUACCAAAGAACUUGAUAGUCGAAGGAUUUGGGAAAAUCCGCCAUAGAUGGUGAUAGCCCAGUAGAUUAAAUCAAAUUCUCUCAGUUCAGGAUCCUGAGUACGGCGGAACACGUGAAAUUCCGUCGGAAUCCGGGAGGACCAUCUCCCAAGGCUAAAUACUACCUAGUGACCGAUAGUGAACCAGUACCGUGAGGGAAAGGUGAAAAGCACCCCGGGAGGGGAGUGAAAUAGUUCCUGAAACCAUGUGCCUACAAUAAGUCAGAGCGCGUUAAUGCGUGAUGGCGUGCCUUUUGUAGAAUGAACCGGCGAGUUAUGAUCCCGUGCAAGGUUAAGACUAAAAAGUCGGAGCCGUAGCGAAAGCGAGUCUGAAAUGGGCGAUUUGAGUACGAGGUUAUAGACCCGAAACCAGGUGACCUAUCCAUGUCCAGGUUGAAGGUGCGGUAAAACGCACUGGAGGACCGAACCCGUGUAAGUUGAAAAUUGCUGGGAUGAGGUGUGGAUAGCGGUGAAAUUCCAAACGAACUUGGAGAUAGCUGGUUCUCUCCGAAAUAGCUUUAGGGCUAGCCUCGGAUUAAGGAUCAUGGAGGUAGAGCACUAUUUGGACUAGGGGCCCGUCUUGGGUUACUGAAUUCAGAUAAACUCCGAAUGCCAUUGAUUCAUGUCCGGGAGUCAGACGAUGAGUGAUAAGAUCCACCGUCGAAAGGGGAACAGCCCAGACCAUCAGUUAAGGUCCCUAAAUGUAUGCUAAGUGGAAAAGGAUGUGGAGUUGCAUAGACAACUAGGAUGUUGGCUCAGAAGCAGCCACCAUUUAAAGAGUGCGUAAUAGCUCACUAGUCGAGUGAUCCUGCGCCGAAAAUGUACCGGGGCUAAGCAUACUACCGAAACCAUGGAUGCGACCAUUAGGUCGCGUGAUAGGAGAGCGUUCUAAGGGCGGUGAAGCAAGAUCGUGAGGACUUGUGGAGCGCUUAGAAGUGAGAAUGCCGGUAUGAGUAGCGAAAGAUAGGUGAGAAUCCUAUCCACCGAAUGACUAAGGUUUCCUGGGGAAGGCUCGUCCUCCCAGGGUUAGUCGGGACCUAAGUCGAGGCCGAGAGGCGUAGACGAUGGAUAACAGGUUGAGAUUCCUGUACUAGUUAAGUGCGUUUGAGCAAUGGAGGGACGCAGGAGGCUAAGAUGUGCAUUCUGUUGGAUUAGAAUGUCCAAGCAGUAAGUCUUGUGAAGAGUCAAAUGCUUUUCACUUUAAGGACAAGCUGUGAUGGGGAGCGAAAUUUAGUAGCGAAGCGUCUGAUGUCACACUGCCGAGAAAAGCUUCUAGUGAGUACUUAACUACCCGUACCGCAAACCGACACAGGUAGUCGAGGAGAGAAUCCUAAGGUGAGCGAGUGAACUCUCGUUAAGGAACUCGGCAAAAUGACCCCGUAACUUCGGGAGAAGGGGUGCUGAUCGCAAGAUCAGCCGCAGUGAAUAGGCCCAGGCGACUGUUUAUCAAAAACACAGGUCUCUGCAAAAUCGUAAGAUGACGUAUAGGGGCUGACGCCUGCCCGGUGCUGGAAGGUUAAAAGGAUGGGUUAGCUUCGGCGAAGCUCAGAAUUGAAGCCCCAGUAAACGGCGGCCGUAACUAUAACGGUCCUAAGGUAGCGAAAUUCCUUGUCGGGUAAGUUCCGACCCGCACGAAAGGCGUAACGAUCUGGGCACUGUCUCAACGAGAGACUCGGUGAAAUUAUAUUGUCCGUGAAGAUGCGGACUACCCGCGACAGGACGGAAAGACCCCAUGGAGCUUUACUGUAGCUUGAUAUUGAGUGUUUGUACAGCUUGUACAGGAUAGGUAGGAGCCAUAGAAACCGGAACGCUAGUUUCGGUGGAGGCGUUGGUGGGAUACUACCCUCGCUGUAUGACCACUCUAACCCGCACCACUAAUCGUGGUGGGAGACAGUGUCAGGUGGGCAGUUUGACUGGGGCGGUCGCCUCCUAAAAAGUAACGGAGGCGCCCAAAGGUUCCCUCAGAAUGGUUGGAAAUCAUUCGCAGAGUGUAAAGGCACAAGGGAGCUUGACUGCGAGACAGACAGGUCGAGCAGGGACGAAAGUCGGGCUUAGUGAUCCGGUGGUACCGUAUGGAAGGGCCAUCGCUCAACGGAUAAAAGCUACCCUGGGGAUAACAGGCUUAUCUCCCCCAAGAGUCCACAUCGACGGGGAGGUUUGGCACCUCGAUGUCGGCUCAUCGCAUCCUGGGGCUGUAGUCGGUCCCAAGGGUUGGGCUGUUCGCCCAUUAAAGCGGUACGCGAGCUGGGUUCAGAACGUCGUGAGACAGUUCGGUCCCUAUCCGUCGCGGGCGUAGGAAAUUUGAGAGGACCUGUCCUUAGUACGAGAGGACCGGGAUGGACAUACCUCUGGUGUACCAGUUGUGCCGCCAGGCGCAUCGCUGGGUAGCUACGUAUGGAUGUGAUAAACGCUGAAAGCAUCUAAGUGUGAAACACACCUCGAGAUGAGAUUUCCCAUUCCUUUAUGGAAGUAAGACCCCUGAAAGAUGAUCAGGUAGAUAGGUUAGAAGUGGCAGUGCGGCGACGCAUGAAGCGGACUAAUACUAAUCGGUCGAGGACUUAACCAAG
rnacentral:rRNA from 2 species